rnacentral:tRNA from 3 species
CGGAGCGUAGCGCAGCUUGGUAGCGCACCACAAUGGGGUUGUGGGGGUCGGGAGUUCGAAUCUCCCCGCUCCGACCA